rnacentral:rRNA from 1 species
AGGCUAAAUACUCGUGAUCGACCGAUAGUGAACCAGUACUGUGAAGGAAAGGCGAAAAGAACCCCGGGAGGGGAGUGAAAUAGAACCUGAAACCGCAUACAUACAAACAGUAGGAGCCCCUGCAGUGGGGUGACUGCGUACCUUUUGCAUAAUGGGUCAGCGACUUACGUUUUGUGGCGAGCUUAACCGAGUAGGGGAGGCGUAGCGAAAGCGAGUUCGAAUAGAGCGAGAAGUCUCAAGGCGUAGACCCGAAACCAGAUGAGCUAUCCAUGGCCAGGUUGAAGGUGUGGUAACACACACUGGAGGACCGAACCGACUAGUGUUGCAAAAUUAGCGGAUGAGCUGUGGAUAGGGGUGAAAGGCUUAACAAAUCUGGAGAUAGCUGGUUCUCCCCGAAAACUAUUGAGGUAGUGCCUCGUGUAUUGCUCCAGGGGGUAGAGCACUGUUAUGGCUAGGGGGACAUGGCGUCUUACCAAACCAUGGCAAACUCCGAAUACUUGGAAGUAAGAGCACGGGAGACAGAGCACCGGGUGCUAACGUCCGGACUCAAGAGGGAAACAACCCAGACCGCCGUUUAAGGUCCCAAAUAUUGACUAAGUGGAAAACGAAGUGUGAAGGCUAAGACAGUCAGGAAGUUGGCUUAGAAGCAGCCAUCCUUCAAAGAAAGCGUAAUAGCUCACUGAUCGAGUCCUCAUGCGCGGAAGAUGUAACGGGGCUAAGUCAAUAACCGAAAGCGCGGAUUUGUACGAAAGUACAAGUGGUAGGGGAGCGUUCUGUAAGCCUGCGAAGGUGGUUCGAGAGGACUGCUGGAGGUAUCAGAAGUGCGAAUGCUGACAUGAGUAACGUUAAAGCGGGUGAAAAGCCCGCUCGCCGUAAGCCCAAGGUUUCCUGCUCUACGUUCAUCGGAGCAGGGUGAGUCGGCCCCUAAGGCCAGGCUGAGAAGCGUAGUCGAUGGGAAGCAGAUUAAUAUUUCUGCACCAUGUGCAAGUGCGAUGGGGGGACGGAGUGCGAAAGAUCAUCCGGGUGUUGGAUGUCCCGGUUUGUGAGUGUAGAAGGCCGACAGGCAAAUCCGUCGGCGGAUCUUCGAGACAAAGCAUCGAGGUUCUACGGAACCGAAGUGAUCGGAAGUGCUUCCAGGAAAAGCCUCUAAGCUCCAGCUUGCAUAUGACCGUACCGUAAACCGACACUGGUGGGCGAGUUGAAUAUACUCAGGCGCUUGAGAGAACUCGGGAGAAGGAACUCGGCAAAUUGACACCGUAACUUCGGGAUAAGGUGUGCCUUUGUAGCGUGAAGAGAGAAACACUCGGAGCGUGAAGAGGCCUCAGAGAAUCGGUGGCUGCAACUGUUUAUUAAAAACACAGCACUCUGCAAAGACGAAAGUCGACGUAUAGGGUGUGAUGCCUGCCCGGUGCUGGAAGAUUAAGUGAUGGGGUGAGAGCUCCUGAUCGAAGUCCCAGUAAACGGCGGCCGUAACUAUAACGGUCCUAAGGUAGCGAAAUUCCUUGUC